CCCCAAGGCCCCCACGCCAGCCCGGGGCUGCCCACCGCGCUGCCUGAUACGUACCUGAAUUCAGCCGCUACUCGCCAACGAGGCGGCUGGGGGCGCGGCGGAGCGGCUAGACCGGAGCUCUACGCGCUUCCUCCCCCCGCAGCCAGGCGAGGGCUGAGCCGCCCCUCCGCGGCGGAGUGUUUUCAGGCAGGCGGCGCGACCGCAGCCCGGGGUCCUUCGCGGGCAAGGGGAGGGGGCAGAAGCUGGCGGGGGAGUAGGGGCUAGAGGAGUCCGAGCCGAUGUUUACACCGGGCAGAGAUUUGCCUGGGUAACAUAAUGCCAGCUGAGCGUAAAAAGUCAGCCAGUAUGGAAGAAAAAGAAUCUUCAUUAAAUAACAAAGAAAAAGACUUCAGUGAAAGGCGAUCAGUGAGCAAUAGAGAGAAACCAAAAGAGGAUGUGAAGGUUGGCCUGAAGAGAGAGACUCUCAAGGCACCUGAAGAUAAAAAGAAAAAACUGGAGGAGGAUAAACGGAAAAAAGAAGACAAGGAGCGAAAGAAAAAAGAAGAGGACAAGAUAAAAGCUGAGGAAGAGCAGAAGAAGAAAGAGGAUGAAGAAAAAAAGAAAUUUGAAGAGGAAGAGAAAAAGAAACAAGAAGAGGAAGUAAAACGUCAGCAAGAGGAGGCAGCUGCACAAUUGAAAGAGAAAGAGGAAGCACAUCAACUCCAUCAGGAAGCUUGGGAGCGCCAUCAAGCAAGAAAGGAACUCCGCAGCAAAAACCAGAAUGCACCAGACAGCCGCCCUGAGGAGAAUUUCUUUAGCAGGCUGGACUCGAGUCUGAAGAAGAACACUGCUUUUGUUAAGAAGCUAAAAACUAUCACAGAACAACAGAGGGACUCCUUGUCUCAUGAUUUUAAUAGCCUCAAUUUAAGCAAGUACAUUGCAGAAGCUGUAGCUUCUAUUGUUGAAGCAAAGCUGAAAAUAUCAGAUGUGAACUGUGCCGUGCACUUGUGUUCUCUGUUUCACCAGCGCUAUGCUGAUUUUGCUUCAUCACUUCUUCAGGUUUGGAAAAAGCAUUUUGAAGCAAGGAAAGAAGAGAAAACUCCCAACAUUACCAAACUAAGAACUGACUUGCGUUUCAUUGCUGAAUUGACAAUAGUUGGGAUUUUCACUGAUAAAGAAGGUCUGUCUUUAAUCUAUGAACAGCUAAAAAACAUUAUUAACGCUGAUCGAGAGACUCACGCUCAUGUUUCAGUGGUAAUAAGCUUUUGCCGGCACUGUGGAGAUGAUAUUGCUGGUUUGGUACCAAGGAAGGUUAAAAAUGCUGCAGAAAAGUUUAACUUGAGUUUUCCUCCUAGUGAGAUAAUCAGCCCAGAGAAGCAACAGCCCUUCCAGAAUUUGUUGAAGGAAUACUUUACAUCUUUGACCAAACACCUGAAAAGGGACCACAGAGAGCUACAAAAUAUUGAGAGACAAAACAGGCGUAUUCUGCACUCUAAAGGAGAGUUGAGUGAAGAUCGACACAAACAAUAUGAAGAAUUUGCAAUGUCCUAUCAGAAGCUGUUGGCAAAUUCUCAGUCUCUGGCUGAUCUGUUGGAUGAAAAUAUGCCAGAUCUUCCCCAAGAGAAACCAACACCAGAGGAACAUGGGCCUGGCAUUGACAUUUUUACCCCUGGCAAACCUGGAGAAUAUGACUUGGAAGGGGGCAUCUGGGAAGAUGAAGAUGCUCGAAAUUUCUAUGAGAACCUUAUUGAUCUAAAAGCUUUUGUGCCAGCCAUUUUGUUUAAAGAUAAUGAAAAAUGUUCUCAGAACAAGGACUCCAGCAAGGAUGAAUCUAGAGAUUCAAAAGAUGCCAGGGAUAAUAAGGAUAUUGCUGGUACUGAGGAUUUGGAGUUGGAUAUGGAGAAUUUGGACAUUAAUGAUGAUAACUUGGAGUUAGACUGUGGAGAUGAAGCAGAAGAUCUCACAAAAAAGCUUCUUGAUGAGCAAGUAUGCUCAGGCAGGAGAGAGGGAGCAGAUAGCACCGGAGCUGAAAAUAGUGACGGAAAACAAGCUGAAAGAAAACAAGAGGAUGAAGAAGCCAGUACUGGGUCUCACUUAAAACUGAUAGUAGAUGCUUUCCUUCAGCAACUCCCAAACUGUGUCAACAGAGACCUCAUAGACAAGGCAGCAAUGGAUUUUUGCAUGAGUAUGAACACAAAAGCCAAUAGAAGAAAGUUAGUACGAGCUCUCUUCAUCGUUCCUAGACAAAGGUUGGAUUUGCUUCCAUUUUAUGCAAGGCUGGUUGCCACAUUGCAUCCCUGUAUGUCUGAUGUAGCAGAGGAUCUUUGUUCCAUGCUGAAAGGGGAUUUCAGAUUUCAUGUGAGAAAAAAGGACCAGAUCAAUAUUGAAACAAAAAAUAAAACUGUGAGAUUUAUUGGAGAGCUUGCCAAGUUUAAGAUGUUCUCCAAAAAUGACACCCUGCAUUGUUUAAAGAUGCUUCUGUCAGACUUUUCUCAUCACCAUAUUGAAAUGGCAUGUACUCUGCUGGAAACGUGUGGAAGAUUCCUAUUUAGAUCACCAGAGUCUCACUUAAGAACAAGUGUUCUUUUGGAACAAAUGAUGAGAAAGAAACAAGCAAUGCAUCUCGACGCACGGUAUGUCACAAUGGUGGAGAAUGCAUACUACUACUGUAAUCCCCCUCCUGCUGAAAAAACUGUGAGGAAGAAACGCCCGCCUCUGCAGGAGUAUAUUCGUAAGCUUCUUUACAAGGAUCUCUCCAAGGUCACCACUGAGAAGGUCCUGAGACAGAUGCGCAAAUUGCCCUGGCAGGACUCUGAAGUGAAAGAUUAUGUUAUAUGUUGUAUGAUCAACAUUUGGAAUGUGAAAUACAAUAGUAUUCACUGUGUAGCUAACCUCUUAGCAGGGUUGGUGCUUUACCAAGAGGACGUUGGAAUUCAUGUCGUGGAUGGAGUGCUAGAGGAUAUUCGCCUAGGCAUGGAGGUUAAUCAGCCAAAGUUUAAUCAGCGACGGAUCAGCAGUGCCAAGUUCUUGGGAGAACUUUACAAUUACCGAAUGGUAGAGUCAGCUGUAAUAUUUCGAACUCUAUAUUCAUUUACAUCAUUUGGUGUGAACCCUGAUGGUACUGCUAGUCCACUGGACCCUCCAGAACAUCUUUUCCGAAUUAGACUGGUCUGCACCAUCCUUGAUACCUGUGGGCAAUAUUUUGACAGAGGUUCCAGCAAACGGAAGCUUGAUUGCUUUCUUGUAUACUUUCAGAGGUAUGUUUGGUGGAAGAAGAAUUUGGAAGUUUGGACAAAAGACCAUCCGUUUCCUAUUGACAUUGACUAUAUGAUCAGUGAUACCCUAGAACUGCUGAGACCAAAGAUAAAACUCUGCAAUUCUCUGGAAGAAUCUGUCAGGCAGGUACAUGACUUGGAACGAGAAUUCUUAAUAAAACUAGGCAUUGUGAAUGACAAAGAUUCAAAAGAUUCUAUGACGGAAGGAGAGAAUCUGGAAGAAGAGGAAGAGGAGGAGGAAGGUGGAGCAGAGACAGAAGAACAGUCUGGAAAUGAAAGUGAAGUAAAUGAGCCAGAGGAAGAGGAGUGCUCGGAUAAUGACGAUGAGGAGGGUGAGGAAGAAGAGGAAGAGAAUACUGAUUACCUCACAGACUCCAAUAAGGAGAAUGAAACUGAUGAAGAGAACACAGAAGUAAUGAUUAAAGGAGGAGGACUUAAACAUGUUCCUUGUGUAGAGGACGAGGACUUCAUUCAGGCAUUGGAUAAAAUGAUGCUGGAGAAUCUUCAGCAACGGAGUGGAGAAUCUGUGAAAGUACAUCAGCUGGACGUUGCUAUUCCUCUCCAUCUCAAGAGUCAGCUAAAGAAGGGUCCACCCUUGGGUAGUGGGGAAGGAGAAUCGGAGUCGGGAGACACAAUGCCAUUUGUCAUGUUAACUCGAAAAGGCAACAAACAGCAGUUUAAGAUCCUAAAUGUGCCAAUGUCUUCCCAACUUGCUGCCAACCAUUGGAAUCAACAACAAGCUGAGCAAGAGGAGAGAAUGAGAAUGAAAAAGCUCACUCUGGAUAUUAAUGAACGGCAAGAACAAGAAGACUAUCAGGGUAUGAAAUUAUCUUUCAAAAUAAUAAGGUUUUAUUCCUAGAGAAAUUAAUCUAUAAAAAUUCAGUCCCAAGACGUGUCCCUGCUGCAACCAACUCCAUUCUGCUGUAUGCCUCAGCAUGCACAAUGCUGGUUGUCAGAACCCCUAGGAAUCCUAGUGGAAUGUGAAACCAGUACAUACAGUUAGGUUAACAUUAUGGGGGAGGGUAAUUACAUUGCACUGAGUUUUGAGUUGUUUUUAUACACCUUGAGAUAUAAAAUUGUUACGUUUAGGGAAAUCAUACCAAAAAAAGCAGUUUAUCUGAUACUCUGUAGCCUAGCAAAUGAUGUCUGUGCUGUCACCUGCAAUGGAGUAGGAACAAAAACUAGUCAGGUGCAAGGGAAAUGGAUUGUGUACCACUUGAGUGAAGGUGUGUUAUUACAUAUUACAGUAUAUGUAUCAAAAUGACAGCCUUGGCCUGGCUAAUAGCAGUGAUUGGUUCAUACUGACAUUGUUGAAGUUGAAAUUUCAUAAUUUCUCCUGCGUUUCAGAAUUCUAAAGGAGGAUGUUUGAAUAUAUUGACAGGAUAAAUAUUUUAGACUAAUUAUGUAUCUUUUACAAAUCAAUUCAUAUUUAAUUCAAGUGAUAUUGAAUAGACAAAUUGAGGCCCAUGAAGCAAUCAGCAAAUCAGAUAUAGCCGUAUCCUAGUGAAUUCAAUGUUAUGUCAGAUUCCAUUUUCCUUGGCAUACUCUGAUAUAUAACCAGGGCCAAACCUAAUAAAGCGGAUGAUAUUCUUAGUCCUUAAAUCACUUUUUUCCAUUUAAUGCAUCCACAAUUCUUCCUCUGUUGUUAAUAGAGGUGAUUUCUGCUUCAAAACUGAAAUAUAAUAUAAGCUGUAAGUAAUAAAGCAGUAAGUCACAUUUCUGUAUUUGAUAAAUAAUAAUGAACUGUAGUUUGUAAAAUCGAAUUUUUAAAUUCAAAACAACCCUAUUAAUCCAAUAAAAACCACAAAAUACAAAACAUGUUUCAGAAGUCUGUGACAUGAUAACCAAAUUCAGUGAGCCCCUGUAUCAUAUUUUUUCAGUAGCAUAAUGGCUGUGGAGCUCUGAAAUUGUAAAUAGAAUACAGAUUUUGAACAAACCAUUUUAAACCUCCCAAACUGUUUAAAACUUCCUUUUGCCAGGUACCUCCUUGUUGCAAAGCCCAGGUUGAAAAUGAAAAAAGGCUUUUCAUAUUUAGGCAGCUUGAGUGCUGUGGUCACAUUUUACACUACAACUCUUAACAAAUUCUGUAUUGUGAUGCUGUUUUUUUUCCCAUUAUGUAGAGUUCCUGGUUUGUUUGUUUGGUUUUUUUUUAAGGUCAAUACGCACAUAGUUUUGGCAUGAUCAGUUUGUUGAUUUGUAUGGACAAUAUUUAUAAAUGUAAUUCAUUUAGGAUAGGAUUCUGUUGUGAGCUGUUAAGAAUUGCACUUCUCAUGCAGUAAAACAAUAAAGGACCUCAAUUUUGUGGUGGAUGAAUGAAACUGGUACUGGUGCCAGUUUUUUCAUUUUCUCAUGAAUAUUCCCAUUUGGCAUAUUUAAAAAGGCAAGCAGAAUAGAUUUACAAUAGGAAGUUAAUAUGGCAAAUUAACUCUGGUUCUUCUUUUCUGAGUUGAUUUUUCUCCCACUGCUUUAUACUAGGAUUAUGUUCAUAAUAAAGACAAAUAAAAGGACAAGUCAGUUUUUUAGGCCCAAAAUUUGAUCUGUUUAAAUCUGUUUGCAAAGUCAAUAUUCACUCUUUUCUAUCAUAUUUUUAUAAACUAAUGCAUUAGCUUACUAUUCUUCAUGAGUUAACCCUAGAAUAACAAUCGCGUUAUUUCAGAUUUCAGUUUCAAGCUUCUAAAGGAUUACUAGAACCAGUAAGGAGAGAGAAAUUUUUAAAUGUUGCCAACAAAAUCUCAAGAUUGUCUAAAGUCUAUAUGUACAUUAUUUCUAAUAGGAAUAGGCUAGUUGCUAGUCCAAGUCUGUUAAAUAAAUUAACAAAUGAAGCCUGUUAAACUGCCUACUGUAAUUU